AAUGUAUAUCUAGGCCAAUAUGUUUGGCAUUCAAUUUACAUCAAAUCAAUGUCAUGUCAAGUUUUUGACAAAAUUGAAUGUGUUUUCAA